rnacentral:rRNA from 1 species
AGCAGCAGCCGCGGGAAUACAGAGGGUGCAAGCGUUAAUCGGAUUUACUGGGCGUAAAGGGCGCGUAGGUGGUUAUUUAAGUGAGAUGUGAAAUCCCCGGGCUUAACCUGGGAACUGCAUCUUAUACUGGGUAACUGGAGUGCAAUAGAGGGUAGUGGAAUUUCCGGUGUAGCGGUGAAAUGCGUAGAUAUCGGAAGGAACACCAGUGGCGAAGGCGGCUACCUGGAUUGACACUGACACUGAGGCGCGAGAGCGUGGGGAGCAAACAGGAUUAGAUACCCCCGUAGUCCCUGUCUCUUAUAC